rnacentral:rRNA from 1 species
UACGGAGGAUCCAAGCGUUAUCCGGAUUUAUUGGGUUUAAAGGGUGCGUAGGUGGCUUAUUAAGUCAGGGGUGAAAGACGGUAGCUUAACUAUCGCAGUGCCUUUGAUACUGAUGAGCUUGAAUGAACUAGAGGUAGGCGGAAUGUGACAAGUAGCGGUGAAAUGCAUAGAUAUGUCUCAGAACACCGAUUGCGAAGGCAGCUGUCUAAACAUGGAUUGACACUGAUGCACGAAAGCGUGGGGAUCAAACAGG